GGCUCAGGAUGAACGCUGGCGGCGUGCUUAACACAUGCAAGUCGAGCGAUGAAGUUUCCUUCGGGAAAUGGAUUAGCGGCGGACGGGUGAGUAACACGUGGGUAACCUGCCUCAUAGAGUGGAAUAGCCUUCCGAAAGGAAGAUUAAUACCGCAUAAUGUUGAAAGAUGGCAUCAUCAUUCAACCAAAGGAGCAAUCCGCUAUGAGAUGGACCCGCGGCGCAUUAGCUAGUUGGUGGGGUAACGGCCUACCAAGGCGACGAUGCGUAGCCGACCUGAGAGGGUGAUCGGCCACAUUGGGACUGAGACACGGCCCAGACUCCUACGGGAGGCAGCAGUGGGGAAUAUUGCACAAUGGGGGAAACCCUGAUGCAGCAACGCCGCGUGAGUGAUGAAGGUUUUCGGAUCGUAAAGCUCUGUCUUUGGGGAAGAUAAUGACGGUACCCAAGGAGGAAGCCACGGCUAACUACGUGCCAGCAGCCGCGGUAAUACGUAGGUGGCGAGCGUUAUCCGGAUUUACUGGGCGUAAAGGGAGCGUAGGCGGAUGAUUAAGUGGGAUGUGAAAUACCCGGGCUCAACUUGGGUGCUGCAUUCCAAACUGGUUAUCUAGAGUGCAGGAGAGGAGAGCGGAAUUCCCAGUGUAGCGGUGAAAUGCGUAGAGAUUAGGAAGAACACCAGUGGCGAAGGCGACUCUCUGGACUGUAACUGACGCUGAGGCUCGAAAGCGUGGGGAGCAAACAGGAUUAGAUACCCUGGUAGUCCACGCCGUAAACGAUGAAAUACUAGGUGUGGGGGUUUCAACACCUCCGUGCCGCCGCUAACGCAUUAAGUAUUCCGCCUGGGGAGUACGGUCGCAAGAUUAAAACUCAAAGGAAUUGACGGGGACCCGCACAAGUAGCGGAGCAUGUGGUUUAAUUCGAAGCAACGCGAAGAACCUUACCUACACUUGACAUCCCUUGCAUUACUCUUAAUCGAGGAAAUCCCUUCGGGGACAAGGUGACAGGUGGUGCAUGGUUGUCGUCAGCUCGUGUCGUGAGAUGUUGGGUUAAGUCCCGCAACGAGCGCAACCCUUGUCGUUAGUUACUACCAUUAAGUUGAGGACUCUAGCGAGACUGCCUGGGUUAACCAGGAGGAAGGUGGGGAUGACGUCAAAUCAUCAUGCCCCUUAUGUGUAGGGCUACACACGUGCUACAAUGGCUGGUACAGAGAGAUGCAAUACCGCGAGGUGGAGCCAAACUUAAAAACCAGUCUCAGUUCGGAUUGUAGGCUGAAACUCGCCUACAUGAAGCUGGAGUUACUAGUAAUCGCGAAUCAGAAUGUCGCGGUGAAUACGUUCCCGGGUCUUGUACACACCGCCCGUCACACCAUGAGAGUUGGCAAUACCCGAAGUCCGUGAGCUAACCGCAAGGAGGCAGCGGCCGAAGGUAGGGUCAGCGAUU
rnacentral:rRNA from 1 species